rnacentral:lncRNA from 1 species
UUGGCCUCAGGAAUCUGAUACAUUAAAUUUUAUUUUAUUUUUUUUCUGAGCAGUGUGACCAGUGCAAUAUUUGCACUGAUUCUAAGGGACAGUCCUACAGCACUUUCAGCCUCAUAUUAUACCUUGAGAAACAAACAAACAAAAAAAAAAAACUUCAAAAAUUAUUUUUAAGAAAUGAAGUUAAAGUGCUGAAGCAGUCUGUCCUUAACAUUAAAAGGGCAGAAUUUGUGGGAACCUUGAAGAUGUUUAUGAGAUGGUUCCAGUAGAAAUGAAUUAAAAAGAAUUAGGAACUAAUGGAAUGAGGACAUUCUCAUAAGGACAGGUUGUUCAAGAGUCUCUGUACCUCUAGAUGGACCAGUUCCAGUAAAAGUCUAACUAAAGAAAAAAAAAUAAAUGGGGGGUGGUGAAGAGAUUCUUUGUGGAAAAGGAAAGGAAAAGAAAAAAAAAGGUUGUAAUUGCAACACAGUGCUAAAUGAGAUGUUUCUGUGCCAAGGUACCAAUGACAUGACACUGUUCCCAGGAAGAUCUUCAGAGUCCAAAAUACAUCACAUCACAAGAUGUGCUCAGAGGGUGAAAUGCACAAUUGCUUGCACAGUAUGAAAUACGAGAACGAAGUGCUCACUGAUGGACCAAUGAAGGCAGUUCAUCCAACUUGGAAACAGAAAGAAGGCAUCUGAUUCUGACUCCGCAAGAGGAGUGAAGGUGGAAUGAGGUUAGAAGGAAGUGUGUGAGAAGGAGAAGAAGCUGGGCUGAGGAGUCUAGGCUCUGUAAUGAUAUUAAUUGAAUAUAAGAGCUGAAAUUAAGUAGAGUUGAAGUUUUAUUCAUUUGUAAAAGCUUCUGUCUCUGUAGUUAGUUUGCAUGAACUGUCAGACUCUUCACUAGCAUAAAAAACUGCAGUAGGCUGAUAAUGAGGUUUUAUUACAGAUCUUUAUUUGGUUAAAAAAAAAAAAAAAAAAAAAAAAAAAGUUCUCUAGAACUGCCUAGAAUUGUGCCUAGUGUCAGCCAGAGAACUUUUUUCAAUGGUUUUCAC